rnacentral:ncRNA from 1 species
AACAGGGGCGCCGAAAGGCUGAGAUGCGCGUCACGCGCUGUCCCUCGAACCUGAAACGGGUAAUACCGGCGUAGGAAGCGUAU